AGCUUUGCGCAGUGGCAGUAUCGUAGCCUAUGAGGUUUAUCCGAGGCGUGAUUAUUGCUAGUUGAAAACUUUACCCAAUACCCCGCCCAAGACGACUUGCAAUAUAGUCGGCAACGGCAAUUUUUGGUAGUCUCUAAGGAGA
ensembl:snRNA U4 U4 spliceosomal RNA